GACAGAGGGGGCAAGCGUUGCUCGGAAUUACUGGGCGUAAAGGGCGCGUAGGCGGAAUGGCAAGUCGGUCGUGAAAUCCUUCGGCUCAACCGAAGAACGUCGAUCGAAACUGCCGUUCUUGAGGAUUGCAGAGGAGACUGGAAUUCCCGGUGUAGCGGUGAAAUGUGUAGAGAUCGGGAGGAACGACCGGUGGCGAAGGCGGGUCUCUGGGCCUUACCUGACGCUGAGGAGCGAAAGCGUGGGGAGCGAACAGG
rnacentral:rRNA from 1 species